CCGGUGCCGCUGUUCAUCGGGCCGCGCGGGGAAGGCGGCGGCCAAGAUGCGCUCCGUCACGUAGUGCCUGGUACUGGAUAGGAACUUCAUGGAAUGGAGCUAAUGGGCCGUAGGGCAGGUUUGAGUCGUGCCACCCUGGAGCAGAAGGUGGAGGGUAGGGAUAAGGGUGGAGAGAAACUAGGAGAAAAGCACAGGAUGUAGAGGUCUAUUCGGCAUAAUCUUCUCCCUCAUUUUCAUCUUCACCAUCAACAGAGAGAGCAGCAUACUUGCUUGCAGAACUGAACUUCUGUAACACAACGAGAGUGACAGGAUAAUGAAGGCCCUGAAUUAUCACAUCAAAACCCAAGACACAGGAUACUGAUCCUUUGGCAAUGGGGGAUGACAGUCAGAUGACACCCACUUGCUUGCUCAUCAGCAUUGUCCAUUGGAGAGGAGCUAGGGAAGAGGGUCAGAGGCACAUGCGAUCUUACUAUAGUCUCAUACCACCUCUACACCUUGCAGAAGGGAUGAGAACAAAGGAAGACAGAAACCAGGAAAAAGCUAAACUUCUUUCGCUAUUUCAGUAAAGACCAAUGUCUUAUUUCCAAACACUUUGUAUUCCAAAUGGAAAGAAGUCCAACGGCAAAAAGUUUAGAAUACUAAGAAUUUUUAAUUCUUAGUAAGAAUACUUAGAAUUCUAAGAAUUUUUCUUAGAAUGAAAAAUUGGGAGCA
rnacentral:lncRNA from 1 species